rnacentral:tRNA from 1 species
CCUGAUAGCUCAGCUGGUAGAGAAUCGGCCUGCAAUGCAGGAGACCCUGGUUCGAUUCCUGGGUCAGGA